rnacentral:rRNA from 1 species
CUGAUGGAAGGUUAGCGGCAGACGGGUGAGUAACACGUAUGUCACCUGCCCUGCAAGACCGGUGAUAACAUUCGGAAACGAAUGCUAAGACCGGAUACGCCCGCCUGAGGCAUCUCUCGCUUGGGAAACACGGAGCAGUCUGUGGCUUGCGGAUGGGCCUGCGGCGCAUUAGCUAUAUGGUGGGGUAACGGCCUACAAAGGCGCCAAUGCAUAGACCACAUGAGAGCGCGAACGGCCACACUGGGACUGAGACACGGCCCAGACUCCUACAGGAGGCACUACUACGGAAUCUUCCACACUGUGGGCAAGCCUGAUGGAGCAACACGCCGUGAGUGAGGAAGGCCUUCGCUUCGUAAAGCUCUGUUGCCAGGGAAGAAUAAGGGUGAGGUGACUGCUCACCCGAUGACGGUACCUGAGAAGAAAUCCCCGGCUAACUACGUGCCAGCAGCCGCGGUAAUACCUAUGUGGCGAGAGUUGUCGCGAAUUAUUGGGCGUAAAGCGCGCGCAGGCGGUUUCUUAAGUCGGGUGUCUAAGUGCGGGGCUCAACCCCGUGAUGCGCUGGAAACUGGCGGACUUGAGUGCAGGAGAUAAGAGCGUAAAUCUACGUGUAGCGAUGAUGUGCGUACACAUGUGGAGGAACACCAGUGGCUCAGGCGGUUCUCUGGACUGUAACUCACACUGAGGCGCGAAAGCGUGGGGAGCAAACAGGAUUAGACACCCUGGUAGUACACGCGGUACACGAUGAGUGCGCGGUGUUGGGGGUGUCCACCUCUCGGUGCCGAAGUUAACACAUUAAGCACUCCGCCUGGGGAGUACGGUCGCAAGACUGAAACUCAAAGGAAUUCACGGGGACCCGCGCAAGCAGUGGUGUAUGUGGUUAAUUCGAAGCAACUCUAAGAACCUUACCAGGUCUUGACAUCCCUCUGAAUACGCUAGAGAAAGCGUAGGCCUUCGGGAC